rnacentral:rRNA from 1 species
UACGGGGGGGGCAAGCGUUGUUCGGAAUUACUGGGCGUAAAGGGCUCGUAGGCGGCCAACUAAGUCAGACGUGAAAUCCCCAGGCUUAACUGGGGAACUGCGUCUGAGACUGGUGAGCUUGAGUGCAGGAGAGGAACGCGGAAUUCCAGGUGUAGCGGUGAAAUGCGUAGAUAUCGGGAGGAACACCAGUGGCGAAGGCGGAGACCUGGGCCAAUACUGACGCUGAGGUGCGAAAGCGUGGGGAGCAAACAGG